UUAUUGGAGAGUUUGAUCCUGGCUCAGGACGAACGCUGGCGGCAUGCCUAACACAUGCAAGUCGAACGGAGAUUAUUUCGGUAAUCUUAGUGGCGAACGGGUGAGUAACGCGUAGGCAACCUGCCCUUUAGUUGGGGAC
rnacentral:rRNA from 1 species